ensembl:lncRNA
GAGUUGUGAUAGUUUGUUAUGCAAUUUCCACCUGCCGGUCUUAGCUCUACCCUUCUAGCAUCACACAGAGGAAGUCUACUUCAUCUUCCACUUGACAGACCAUCAAAGUAAAGAUCCACCAUGUCUCCCUGAAGUGAUUAAUUUUCAAAGCACCCCCAGCUGAUUGAUUUUCAUUUCACUUAUUAUACGGGUCACCCUUCUUGGGGAAUCCACAUGACUCUUUUUGGCCUUCUGACAAGAUGCAGCUCAGAACAGAAAACAGUCCAUCAGGUGAGCAGAGGGAACAUAAGGGGGCUCUGUGAGAAAGACUCAGUACAUCUUAUUCUGGAAGCUGCUAUGCUGGAAAAAACAUGCUUGGGCUCCUUUCCUGCUUUCUCAUCAUCUGGAAGGUGGACGUGGGAUGACGGCAGGCAGUACAGCAUUAAAUGUCAACCAAAUCUGAAAGGCUCUCGGGUGCCUGAGAAAACCGGACAGCACUUGGUUGUUUCGAUUCUGUGCGUACGAAUUGCUCUUCGCCCUCCACGGUGA